AAAUUGAAGAGUUUGAUCAUGGCUCAGAUUGAACGCUGGCGGCAGGCCUAACACAUGCAAGUCGAACGGUAACAGGAAGCAGCUUGCUGCUUCGCUGACGAGUGGCGGACGGGUGAGUAAUGUCUGGGAAACUGCCUGAUGGAGGGGGAUAACUACUGGAAACGGUAGCUAAUACCGCAUAAUGUCGCAAGACCAAAGAGGGGGACCUUCGGGCCUCUUGCCAUCGGAUGUGCCCAGAUGGGAUUAGCUAGUAGGUGGGGUAACGGCUCACCUAGGCGACGAUCCCUAGCUGGUCUGAGAGGAUGACCAGCCACACUGGAACUGAGACACGGUCCAGACUCCUACGGGAGGCAGCAGUGGGGAAUAUUGCACAAUGGGCGCAAGCCUGAUGCAGCCAUGCCGCGUGUAUGAAGAAGGCCUUCGGGUUGUAAAGUACUUUCAGCGGGGAGGAAGGUGUUGAGGUUAAUAACCUCAGCAAUUGACGUUACCCGCAGAAGAAGCACCGGCUAACUCCGUGCCAGCAGCCGCGGUAAUACGGAGGGUGCAAGCGUUAAUCGGAAUUACUGGGCGUAAAGCGCACGCAGGCGGUCUGUCAAGUCGGAUGUGAAAUCCCCGGGCUCAACCUCGGAACUGCAUUCGAAACUGGCAGGCUAGAGUCUUGUAGAGGGGGGUAGAAUUCCAGGUGUAGCGGUGAAAUGCGUAGAGAUCUGGAGGAAUACCGGUGGCGAAGGCGGCCCCCUGGACAAAGACUGACGCUCAGGUGCGAAAGCGUGGGGAGCAAACAGGAUUAGAUACCACGGUAGUCCACGCCGUAAACGAUGUCGACUUGGAGGUUGUGCCCUUGAGGCGUGGCUUCCGGAGCUAACGCGUUAAGUCGACCGCCCGGGGAGUACGGCCGCAAGGUUAAAACUCAAAUGAAUUGACGGGGGCCCGCACAAGCGGUGGAGCAUGUGGUUUAAUUCGAUGCAACGCGAAGAACCUUACCUACUCUUGACAUCCAGAGAACUUAGCAGAGAUGCUUUGGUGCCUUCGGGAACUCUGAGACAGGUGCUGCAUGGCUGUCGUCAGCUCGUGUUGUGAAAUGUUGGGUUAAGUCCCGCAACGAGCGCAACCCUUAUCCUUUGUUGCCAGCGGUUAGGCCGGGAACUCAAAGGAGACUGCCAGUGAUAAACUGGAGGAAGGUGGGGAUGACGUCAAGUCAUCAUGGCCCUUACGAGUAGGGCUACACACGUGCUACAAUGGCGCAUACAAAGAGAAGCGACCUCGCGAGAGCAAGCGGACCUCAUAAAGUGCGUCGUAGUCCGGAUUGGAGUCUGCAACUCGACUCCAUGAAGUCGGAAUCGCUAGUAAUCGUGGAUCAGAAUGCCACGGUGAAUACGUUCCCGGCCUUUGUACACACCGCCCGUCACACCAUGGGAGUGGGUUGCAAAAGAAGUAGGUAGCUUAACCUUCGGGAGGGCGCUUACCACUUUGUGAUUCAUGACUGGGGUGAAGUCGUAACAAGGUAACCGUAGGGGAACCUGCGGUUGGAUCACCUCCUUACCUUAAAGAA
rnacentral:rRNA from 1 species